rnacentral:rRNA from 1 species
GAUGAACGCUGACGGCGUGCCUAAUACAUGCAAGUCGAGCGAACGGACGAGAAUCUUGCUUCUCUGAUGUUAGCGGCGGACGGGUGAGUAACACGUGGAUAACCUACCUAUAAGACUGGGAUAACUUCGGGAAACCGGAGCUAAUACCGGAUAAUAUUUUGAACCGCAUGGUUCAACAGUGAAAGACGGUCUUGCUGUCACUAGUAGAUGGAUCCGCGCUGCAUUAGCUAGUUGGUAAGGUAACGGCUUACCAAGGCAACGAUGCAUAGCCGACCUGAGAGGGUGAUCAGCCACACUGGAACUGAGACACGGUCCAGACUCCUACGGGAGGCAGCAGUAGGGAAUCUUCCGCAAUGGGCGAAAGCCUGACGGAGCAACGCCGCGUGAGUGAUGAAGGUCUUCGGAUCGUAAAGCUCUGUUAUUAGGGAAGAACAUCUGUGUAAGUAACUGUGCACAUCUUGACGGUACCUAAUGAGAAAGCCACGGCUAACUACGUG